AUUCCCGGUCUCACAUGUGCCCAGGGAUCAGGGUGGGUCGGGGGAGUGAGUCAUCCUCGACCCCAGCUGGCAAGGUCGGUUCCGGUCUGGGAUCUGGGAUGGAGCUGGAGUGGAGUUCCAAAUAGGCAACACGUGGCCCCGCUGGUUCCCGGCCAAUCAGAAUCCACGCUGGUCGCAAACGGGCCAAUCAGAACAGACGCCAGCGCAGCCGCUGUGCCCACGCACGGGGACCUGAGGGUCAGGUCCCGGGAUGUGAGCCGGUUCUCGCGAGUCCAGGCCAUCUUUAUGAAGCUGCAGGUCGGGCUGCCCAGACAGGGAAAUCUCAUUUCCUGGGCCGAAUUGGCCCGCAGACCUGUUUCGCUAGGUAGGCCUGCCCUAUGCCUGCCCCUCCCUCCCUCCUCCAUCUCACCCUCUUCCUGCUUUUCCCUCCCUUCUUCCUUUCUUUCCUUCCUUCCCCUCACUUUGGAAAACUCUGACCUCUAUGAAAGGCUUCUUUGGGGGUGCCCUUCUCUCGAAGGCCGUCCACUUUCACAGCCACGCUUGGGACUCCCCUGAGUCCUGCCAUUGCAGACCAGAACCCCUUCUCUUUUUUAAUCUCCUUUUCUCCCAAACUGCCUGCCCCAGAGCUUGCCCUCAUCAGGCCAGAUUGGGUCCCUCCCAGAGAGAGACCCUUGUGCCUUUCAAUUACAGAUUUCAGGAGACUCAAUACUGUAAAAGACGGGAGUGAAUCCUAGUGGGAUUUAGGGCUGAUUACUUGGAUUAACUGAAGCCAGUGUUUGGAUCCUGGACAAAUCACUCUAAGGAGAGGGCUGUCACUUCAAUCUAUAUUUGGCGUCAACAGCGAGGAUUUGAUGCCUUCCUACAGGCGGACACUUUUAUAGGAAACCGCAGUGUCUGCCUGUUCUGCACCCUGAGGGCCUGCAACGAGAAAAGCGAAUUCUCCUGGAGUGAUGGACGGGGCAGCUUUGGCUGGGAGCUGAGAAGUGAGGACUCUGCAGCUUCGAGCAAGUCACAUCCCUUCUCAGACACAGAGUUGCAUCAGCAAAUGGAGUGAAACCCGGGAUUGUUUCUUUCCUUGGGUGGCCUUUGUCUCAGUACAAAGUGGAGCACGACGGGCAGCUCAGAGCAAGGGGGUGUUUCAUAAGAGACAGGAGAUCUCAAACUGGCCUCCCGAGGGCUGAUACUUGGAAAUAGAUGUGGGCUUUCUGUUUGUUUUCCUAAUACAGUGUUUUUUAGAAUUUUGAAUUAGAUACUCAUACUUCAGAACCAGCAGAUUUCACUUCCAGAUUUUGAUUUUGGGUUUCUCUUGAAAAUUCAGCAGCUCUGGUCCCAGUGGCCCUUGUGGGACCAUGUGUUCUGAUCACGUGUUCCGCAUGUCAGCUGGAGCUGAAGAGUGGCCACUGCCUUUGGGCAAAGCGCCAGCUUUCCAUUCCCCACCCAGUCCAACACACCUGCCCUGCCCGGCUCCAGGAUGGCGCUGCCCAGAUGAGCGUGGCCAGCGCUGGCCUCUUGACCAUCCAUCUUUUCAGCUCUGGAGUUGCCAUGGUGAUACUGGCUGAGGGAGGCACUGGUAACCAGGAGUUGCUGUGCUCACCAAUGGAGCAACAAGAGGUGGGUGAAUCCCUGCAGCCGAUGAGUCUCUCGAACCUUUGGUUCCCUGCUCCCCCUGAGACUCAUUUUCUUCAAAUGACAGAUGGAGCUGACUCUAUUACAGUCCUUGAUGUGGACUGUGUCAGGAGCCACUCAGGAAGCCAAAGCAGGUGGUGCCAGGGACAUGCCAGUGCCCAGAGCCUGCGGAGUCCUGCCGAGUCCUACCUUCCUGGCUUUCAAUGCUUGUUCCUGGGUGCCCACAUUUGGGACAGAGGCAGCCUGGAGGCCGGGGCUGGGACUGUCUGGAUGUUGACAGCUGAGCUGCCACGCGCACCAGGGCCUCGGAUCCCUUGCAGGAAACCAGAAUGGAGCUGAAUGUCGCCGCAAGAAUGUUCUUCUGUCGGGCUGGGUCUGAGUCACGGAGGGCUGGGUCUGAUUUGCCAGGAGGGCACAGCUGAGGAUGCAAAGCCACGCUGGGCUGAGGACACCCACCAUGUCCAGAUCGUCUCCUCACCCCUCAUCCCAGCACAGGAGAUUUGCAGAAGCCCACACAGCCAUACCUCAUUUUAUUGUGCUUGGCUUUACUGUGCUUCGCAGAUACUGCGUUGUUUUUUUUUUUUUUUUUUUUUUUUUUAACAAAUUGAAGGUUUGUGGUAACCUGGUGUUUUCAGAUGAUGGUCAGCAUUUCUUAGCAACAGAAUAUUUUUAAAUUAUGGUAUGUACUUUUUUUUAGACAUAAGGCUAUUACACACUUAAUAGACUACAGUAUAGUAUAAACAUAGCUCUUAUAUGCCCUGGGAAACCAAAAUUUAUGUGACUCACUUUAUUGCAACUUUUGCUUUAUUGAGAUGGUCUAGAACUAAACCCACAACUUCUCUGAGAUCUACCUGUAUGUGAUUCAACCUAUUUGGGCUCACCUCUUACCCCCACUGGCAUCAUUUAAAAAAUAUUAAUGGAGAGUGCUGAGUACCAGGCCCUGUUCUAGGCCCAAAGUCACAUCAGUGGCGAUUUCUUGGAGUUUGUUUUCUGCCGGAAAGAGACAUGAAAAAGCCAGUGGACACAGGGGUGUGUAACAUGUCACAUGGCAUAAAAGCCAGUAAGAUAAAUCUGGUAGGAGGACAGGGACAGAUGUGGGAGACUAUUUUAUUUAUUUUUAAUUUUUUUUGAAGUACCAUUAGUUACAAUGUAUCAAAUUCUGGUGUACAGCACAAUGUCCCAGUCAUGCAUAUACAUACGUAGAUUCAUUUUCAUAUUUGGAGACUAUUUUAAUAAAUCAUCAGGGAAAGCCUCUCCCAGGCAGACUCUUGAAUGGAGAUGUAAGGAGGAGACAGCUGGUUCCAGGCAGAAGAAACAGCAACUGUAAAGGCCCUGGGUUAGGAAGUCUCCUGGUGAGAUGGAGGAGGAGUGAAAAGGCCACUGGAGCACGGAGGGUGGUGAUGAGGAGGAUAUGAAAUCAGAGUGGGCAGGGACCAGGGCACACAGGUGGCUGGUGGUUUUGGAGUUCAUGUCCAGAAUUGGAAAGGCAUUGGUGCAUUUUGAACAAAGAACAAGUGGUUUUCUCAUAUGAAAACAGCAAUCAAAACUCCCCACCUACCAGGCCUAACCCAUUUGAGUGUUUUCAAAAAUAAGCUGAGAGUACUCUACAGAGUGAAAGUGGUGCUGUAACAUUUUAUUUCUAUAAUAUGUUGUGCUGCUUCUGUUGUGUUUUAUGAAAUGUGUAGCAUUAUGAUGACAUAUAAUCCUGUUUCUUCUCUGUGCCGCCUCUCUGAUGAACUUCAAAUUGGGGGUUUCGGGUUCUCCUGGAGACAAGGUAUGUGACUAGUUGGGGAGUUGCAGGCGCUCAGGCUGGUGAUGGGGGUGGGGAAGAGAAACUCUGGAGCCCUGGGGCUACGACUGUGUGACGCCAGUAGGCUGGGAAAGAGGCAGACCUCAUCCCUAGUGGUAACGGGAAUAAUAAGUGACACUGUUCUACACAUUUGAUGGGUGUUGUCUACAUCUUCCCAGUAACUCCCUGGGCCGUUACCCUGUGAUAGGGACCGUCAGAGCCAGGGGUACUAACUCAUGUACCUGGACCUCAUGCUGCAGAGACCGCAGCCCACACGGGGGUCAUCUCCCCACUGCCCUCCCUCGUGCAUUCUGUCUGGGGGACCCCAGUUCAGCCCAGGGGGUGAAUCGUGAGAUCAGAGCUGCCUUCACGGGUGUGUGACCCAUGUGAUUACACAGGGAUCUGUGCUCAGAAGACUCCGUGAUUGGCUUAAGCUCUGCUGCCCCGGACUACAAGUUCUUAAUAAUUUUUGAACAAGGGGCUUGACAUUCUUACUGUGCACUGGGAACCACGAAUUACGAAGGUGGUCUCGCAGGAGGAUACAAGCCAAUCGUAGGGUCCCGCCCCUUUGCCUGGGAUUGGUGGACGUUUACCCAUGUUUGACCAA